rnacentral:rRNA from 1 species
UACAGAGGGGGCAAGCGUUGUUCGGAAUUACUGGGCGUAAAGGGCGCGUAGGCGGCCUUCUAAGUCGAACGUGAAAUCCCCGGGCUCAACCCGGGAACUGCGUCCGAUACUGGAAGGCUUGAAUCCGGGAGAGGGAUGCGGAAUUCCAGGUGUAGCGGUGAAAUGCGUAGAGAUCGGGAGGAACAUCAGUGGCGAAGGCGGCCAUCUGGGACAACACUGACGCUGAAGCACGAAAGCGUGGGGAGCAAACAGG